CGAGCUUAGCCAAUGGCCGACGUGGUUGCUCCAAAGUCCAUUGCGAAGAGAAAGCGUGCUGUGGGUCGGGCCUGCGGCGGGCUUUUAGGGAGUGGUCUCAGGCGGUAGAGCGGUCUGCUGAUGAGUCCAGCCCCCGGUCCGGCUUCGUCUCGCCGCAAGGAUGCUCCUGGGGUUUCGGAGAGGCCGCAGGAGCCAGUUCAAACACAUCAUCCAUGGCCUUUUACCUGCAGCCAGCAUUGCUCCGAAGGCAGCUGUGCCCCGCACACCUCCUCCCCGCAGCCCCAACCCGUCCCCAGAGAGACCAAGAUCUGCCCUGGCAGCAGCCAUUUUGGCGACAACAUUGACUGGGCGGACGGUUGCCAUUCCUCAGCCUCGCCGGAGAUCCCGGUCUGAGAGUGACGUGAGCAGUGUUGAACAGGACAACUUCAUCGAGCCCUACGCCACCACCUCAGAGCUAAGGCCUCGACCAAAUUGGCAGAAUGAAAUGGGAAGAAGAUCUUCUUUGCCAUCCUUUGAAACGCUGGACUAUGGGGAAGAAGAGGACACUGAAACUCAGCUCUCAUCCAGCUGCAAGGAGUUGGGAUAUGUCAGUGCCCAGAAGGAUGAAGGAGGCCGUGGUGAUGACGUGUAUGCUGUGCCACACAGAAAUCAGGUGCCAUUGUUACAUGGGGUGGACAGUGAAGAUGAUGAAAGUAUUUCCGAUCAAGAUGGGUUUCCAGGCUCACCUCCUGCACCACAGCUGACACAACAAAAAGAUAAUAAACACUCUGUUCUGAAUUUAAAGGAUGAAAAACCUCCGUUACGUGAGAAACCGCCACCCUCCCCAGAUAUAGCUGGUAGGACACGUCCGAGACAUACAGAAAUAACCAGAGAGAAGUUUGAGUCGCUGAAAGAAGAAAACGUGCACCUCAGGAAUACGAACCAAAGCCUAACCCUUGAACUAAAUGCAACGAAACAAGCAAGGAAAGAGUUACAGUUAAAACUUAAGGGAACAGAAAAAGAGAAGAGAAAGCUGGAAGAGGCUGAGAAGGCGGCGUCACAGGACGUUGCUGCAUCUGAGUUACUUUAUCUGCGAAAACAAGCUCAAGAACUGGUGGAUGAAAAUGAUGGGUUGAAAAUGACUGUCCAUCGUUUGAAUGUAGAACUCAGUCGAUAUCAGACAAAAUUCAGGCAUUUGUCCAAGGAAGAGAGCUUAAAUAUUGAAGGCCUCCCAUCCAAAGGCCCUAUACCACCCUGGUUGUUGGAUACAAAGUACCUGUCACCAUUGUUGCUGGCUUAUGAAGAUAUAAUGAAAGAGAAGGACGAACUUAAUGCCACCCUCAAGGAGGAAAUGAGAAUGUUUAGGAUGCGAGUCCAGGAAGUGGUGAAAGAAAAUGAAGAACUGCACCAGGAGUUAAAUAAGAGUAGUCCUGUCACCACUGAGGAAUGGCGGCAGCUUCAGACUCAAGCAAAACUGGUUUUAGAGGAAAACAAGUUGUUGCUGGAGCAGUUGGAGAUUCAGCAAAGGAAGGCCAAGGACAGCCACCAGGAGCGCCUCCAAGAAGUUUCUAAGGUGACUAAACAACUAAUGCUCCUGGAGGCGAAAACCCAGGACCAGGAAAAGGAGUUGGCAGAGAACAGGGAACAGUUAGAGAUUUUACGUGCCAAAUGCCGAGAACUCAAAACACACUCAGAGGGCAAAAUCGCAGUGGAAGUUCAUAAAUCAAUUGUAAAUGAAUUAAAAAGCCAGUUACAGAAGGAAGAAGAGAAAGAAAGGGCUGAGAUGGAAGAGCUGAUGGAAAAGCUGACAGUCCUGCAGGCACAGAAGAAGAGCCUGCUGUUAGAGAGGAACAGUCUCACAGAGCAGAAGAAAGUGCUGGAAGCCGAACUUGAAAAAGCACAGAAAAUAAAUAGGAAAUCUCAGAAGAAAAUUGAGGUCCUCAAAAAGCAGGUGGAAAAAGCCAUGGGGAAUGAAAUGUCUGCUCACCAGUACCUGGCAAACCUUGUUGGCCUGGCAGAGACUGUAACCCAGGAACGUGACAGUCUUAAGUGUCUGGCGAAAUGUUUAGAAAGUGAGAAGCAUGGAGUGCUCAACAAAGUCAUGAAAAGCAACAUUCGCCUGGGAAAGUUGGAGGAAAAAGUCAAGGGCUACAAGAAGCAGGCAGCAGUGAAGCUGGGGGACAUCAGUCACCGUCUGCUAGAGCAGCAGGAGGACUUCGCCGGCAAGACAGCCCAGUACCGGCAGGAGAUGCGGUACCUGCACCAGGUGCUGAAGGACAAGCAGGAGGUGCUGGACCAGGCGCUGCAGCAGAACAGAGAAAUGGAAGGUGAACUUGAAGUUAUUUGGGAAUCCACCUUCAGGGAAAACCGAAGAAUCAGAGAACUUCUCCAGGACACACUCACGAGGACAGGCGUGCGGGAGAACCCCAGAGCUCUGGCAGACCCCAGCCUCAAUGGCAUCACUCAGGCUGACCUGCUGGAUGGCUGCAAUGUCAGUUCCUGCGACCUGAAGACUCUUGCCCCCGCCUGCCAGAGUCUGCGGGAGCCCAUGGUGUAGGCUCCGCUGGCCUGAUGGGUCCGCCUCAUGCAGGCCUUCCCUGGAGGACGUCUCAGGGUGGCAGCCGGAGGCAUGUAAACUCACUGAGCACCACAGGGUCUCACUCUUCUGCCCAGGCUGCAGUACAGUGGUGCAGUCAGAGCUCGCUGCAGCCUCAAACACCCUUGAGAUCCUUCUGCCUCGGCCUCCUGAGUCGCUGGGAUCUCAGGUAUGCACCACCAAGCCCAGCUAAUUUUUUUUCCUUUUUGUUAAGAUGAGGUCUUGCUAUGUUGCCCAGGCUGGUCUUGAACUCCUGGCCUCAAGCCAUCCUCCUGCCUUGGCCUCCCAAAGUGCUGGGAUGACAUGUGUGAGCCGCUGCACCUGGCUUAUUGUGCUUUAUUUUAAUAACGUGCCGCUGAAAUGUGUUGAAGCCAAGGCAUGUUCGCUGGCUGCAUUGUCACUGAGAGGAGCUCUGUGACACCUACUGCUCUGGUGAGUAGGUGGCCUCUUGAGCAUGACUGCCUUCCAGCUCCUAGACCAUCUCCUGGAUCGGCAGCUGUGAAGCCCCGGAGGGAUGGAGUGGGCAGCGGAGCCCUCAUUCGAGUUUUGGUUGGGGAAGUGUCACUGGAGGAGCCAGGCUGUGGCAGUGGCCGGAUGAUAGCUGUGCAUGAGCGGUGGGGUCUUUUCUUGUUUGGUAAAAACCAAGGUGCUCCUGUUCAUGCUCUCUAAAUCGUACAUACCUUUUCUGCCCUCUCCCCCAACCCUUCUCCAUCCUCUUGACCAGGUACUUUAUUCCCUUUUGUUUAGUUGGUAUUUUUGCUUGUUUUGAGACGGGUCUCACUGUUACCCAGGCUGGAGUGCAGUGGUGCAGUUACCACAGCCUUGACCUCCCAGGCUCAAGUGGUCCUCCCACCUCAGCCUCCUGAGUAGGUGGGAUGACAGGCAUGCACUAACAUGCCUUGCUAAUUUUGUAAAAAAAAUUUUUUACAAAAUUACUACUAAAAAUAGAAAAAUAGCCAGGCAUGGCGGGGGCGCCAAGGUGAAAGUAACCAAAGUCGAAAUUUUUUCUAGGCCGGGCAUGGUGGCUGAGGUGGGCAGAUCACCAGAGGUCAGGAGCUGUGUUGCCCAAGCUGGUCUCAGGCUUCUAGCCUCAAGAAAUUCUCCUGCCUGGGCAUCCCAAAGUGUUGGGAUUAUAGGACCCUGCUGGACUGCUUUGCAGGCCCAGUGUCUACAAACAACAGAACAGAGAUAGUGAGGACCCAGGCUGGGCUAAGGAGACCUCAAACCUACAGAGUGCAUGAGGCUGCUUCCUGGAACUGGGCAAGCCACCUGCUACUGAGGACCCAGGCUGGGCUAAGGAGACCUCAAACCUACAGAGUGCAUGAGGCUGCUUCCUGGAACUGGGCAAGCCACCUGCUACUGAGGACCCAGGCUGGCUCCCCGCAUCUGUGCUGGGUGCUCUGGGCCCCCAUCCCCUUGUUCCCCAUCCACCUGUGUGUCAGCACUCUACAGUGGAUAUAGAUGAGAGAGGAAGAGUGCACCGAGGUGAGAGCAUUGCCACCUAGAGUCAUCAGGAGCCUCAAGCAUCUAUUUCCCCUGGUCAGGAGGGUCCUGAGUAUUUUAUUUAAGAAUAAUUCUUUGAAAGUGAGGGGUUUGUGUGUAGUAUAUGUAGCAUACCAGGGCUGGUUUGCAAGCAACAGAAAUUAUACUGCCCAAUGUUAAGGGAAAGAAGGAAAUAUUUUGGAAAUGUACACUGGGUGGUUCCCACCGCGUUUUGAGAAGGACAGAAGCCAGAGUAGCUGUUGCCGAGGGUGAUUCUCAGUAGUUGAACACUGUUAGCCUACCCUGUGCUUCACUUAGAUAGCAAAUCCUGGGAGACAAUGGCCUCUUGGCUGAGCUAAUGUCCUGAGUACUCCUGUGUGGCCAGAGAAGUGAGGUCCUUUGAUUGGUAGCCCACCAGUGUCCCCCAUAAGGGACAGUUCCCCCAAGUUGUGGAUACUGGGCAGACAGAAACAAGAUUACAAAAAAUGGUAACUCCCUACAUUAGAGUCUCAACCUGUCACCCAGACUGGAGUCCAGUGGCAUGAUCGUAGCUCACUGCAGCCUUGAACUCCUGGACUCAAGCAGUCGUCCCAUCUCAGCCUCCUGAGAGUAUCUGGGACUAUGGGUGUACACCACUAUGCCUGGCUAAUAUUUGAAAUUUUUUUUCUUGUAAAGACAGGGGCUCGCUCUGUUGCCCAGGCUGGUCUCAAACUCCUGACCUCAAGCAGUCCCUCUGUCUCAGCCUUCCGAAGUGCUGAGAUUAUAGGUGUGAGCCACAGUUCCCAGCCCAAAACAUAGUAGCUCUUUAUUAAAGAUCUUUGAUGACACAGAACCCUCUUUCCCCAACCUCAGCAGCAAACACAGCUUUUUCAUCACGUGUGGCCACCAUGGUUGAGAAAAGGGGAGGUGACCAGGGACAGUGAUGAGGUCGGUGGGGAAGGGAGCAGGAUGGGAAGUGGUGUUCUGACGGCACGCUGCGACCGCGCUGGCUUCCGCAAGCAGGUAAUCUUCUGUAAAACCAUUUUACUUGGAACACACAAAAAUGAUGGGCAAAGUUCGAAGGCAGAAUUGUACUUUCCAAUAGUUGUUGGAUAUAUAUAGAUUGUUCCUAGAUAAGAGUUUUGAAAUUAUGUUUUUGCUUUCCCUGCUAAUUGUUUUAUUGUUAGUACGUCCCUGACAUUGAAAGCCUUUGAACGCCACUGAUUCAUCACAAAUUCUUCUGGUUGGAAUUCAGGAGGUAAGGGAGCACGACUUCUAUCUGUGGUCAUAUGCCACUUAUACCUGUCUUUUGUGUCCCCCUCCAAAUCCCCAAAUACUACUGUCAGCAGCAGUAGGAAGGAAUAUAAGACUGAGUGAACUGAAUGAAUAGGAGAAAGUCUGAAAACUUGAAGGCAGGUCUGGAACAAGCUUUCAGUAGUGAAGGAAGAUACAGCCUCUGCCUGAAUGUUUGCCCAAGACCCUGCCUCUGUCAUGAGGACAGUGAAUCAGAGAACACAGCGCCCAACUGGGCAUCCCAGAGGCUGUGCAGAAAUGGGUUGACACUAUGGGAUUAAAGACGUCUUUAAAACCAUCACAGGAGACCAGAUGCUAUGGUUCAUGCCUGUAAUCUCAGCACUUUGAGAGGCUGAAAUGGGAGGAUCCCUUGAGCCCAGGAGGUGAAGGCUGCAGUGAGCCAUGAUCAUGCCAUUGCACUCUAGCCUGGGAGCGAGCGGCCCUGUCUUAAACACAAACCACCACAGAAGGAAAUGCUGGGUCAGGACAUAAAACCACCAAAAUAUGAUUAUAGAAGACCACAUAUAUGUCACCCCAAAAUAUACUUCUUUGGAA